UCCAGACCCAGAUGACUGUCCAGCUGACUCACCAGCCUGAGAAAAGGAAACAGAGGAGGAAAACCCAGAUUUGAGGCCAGGGGAUGGAACAUGGAGAAACACGACAAAGGAAAAGCUUAAAGCAGAACAGACCACAGCCAAGGAGAUGUCUCUGAGUUGGAAGGAGAACACCACCAUUUUCUUCAAAAUAUUUUAUUGUGUCCUUAUAAGAGGAAGCGAUUAGGACACAGACACACACAGAGGGGAGACCACGUGAAGACACAUGGAGAAGACGACCAUCCACAAGCAAAGGAGAGAGGCCUCAGAAGAAACCAACCCUGCUGACACCUUCAUCUCAGACUUCCAGCCUCCAGAAUUGUGAGACAAUACACUUCUGCUGUUUAAGCCACCCAGUCUGUGCUACUUUGUCGUGGCAGCCCUAGCAGACGAAUGCAGACCCCAACCUUGGGCAGUAGCAGACACAUGGAGAAGAGGGAAGGGAUGGAAGACAUUUUUAGGAGGUGAAAUUGGCAAACUUUGUUGAAUGGCUCCAUAUGGACAAGUGGGGGUGCAGAGUAGUGGAGAAUUUUGUUAGUUUUCUAAGCCUGAGCAGCUGGAUGGAUGAGGGUGCCCCAUCUCAUCAACUGUGAUGGAGAAUCCACGAGGAAGAGUUGCUGUUUGGAGGAGUUGAAGGGGAGACGCGGGAGGGGCACCCGGUGGGGAUGCCUGUUCUCUGGUUGAUCUAGUCCAGGGCUUCAAGCCAAGGGCUGGAGGGAGGCACAAGGGCACAUCCGUGCGAGCGGAAAGCAUACUGUGAGUAGAGGAGGGUGGCAGAGGACAGACCCCCGGGGAGGUGCACAUUUAUUUUCUUGGAGGAAGGGACCAUCAUGUAUUGUGCUGAUGAUCGCAUCGCAGCUGUUCACAUUUAUUAGGUUGAUUCCAAAAUAUUGUCUGCCUCCCCUAAUUUCUCUUUCAACCCAUUGUUUAAAAAUUCCCAAGAUAGGCACAGACAGACUACUCCCCAAAUGCUAAAUUGGUCAAAUUAGGGGGAAGGCUGUCUCUUUAACCUACCCCUGUGAUUAUUUGGUACACAUGGUGCUUAGCAUGCUGGCGUCCAGGAACCACCAUAUGUGCAGGUAAGCGCAGAGCCGAGUGGUCAAACAAUGGGCUGUUUUGCUUUUCGCAAUACAUGCUCUUACUUUUUUGUACCCCUCUGGCCUCCUUUCUUUAAACAUUUUUUAAUUGAAAAAAUGCAUAUCAAUGUGUGUUAGAAAUGUGUGGGAAUGGAAACAAUAGUCUCUCCUAAUGGUGUGAAUAAUGAUGUGAUUUUUGUUAUUAUCAUAUUAGUGCCAGCAUAUUUUGCAGGAUUACUAUGUAUCAGGCACUAUGCUGUAUUGUUUCUCUUAGGAUAUGUAGUUUUCCACGAAGACAUACGAUUCUGAAACCCUGGAGAAUACAAAAUUGAAAAUUAGCUUUCUGUUUAAGAGUGCAGGCUCUGGAUUGAGGUUGCCUGAGUUAGAAUUCUGAUUUCCUCACUUAUUAAACUAAUGCCAUUCUGGGUGAGCUA